CUUCUUAUGCCGCAUAGAAGUUCUUUUUCCAGAGAAGAUUAGCGUGGUCCCUGUGCAAGGGUGACAUACAAAUUCGAGAAGGAUUCCAUAUUUUA
ensembl:snRNA U6 U6 spliceosomal RNA